rnacentral:lncRNA from 1 species
AUGUGCAAGCAUGUGGCCCUAGAGGGAUGUGAGAAGAGAAAAUACUAUCAGCCGUCACCCAUAAGCCCCACCACCUCACCAAGGUGCUCUUCCUCCCCGCAGGCAGAGAGGUCUGAGCAUGACAGCCUCCUUGGCCAACACAGGCAGCAUCCUGAGCCCGCUGGUGAGCACGGCCUCAGAGGUUUACCCUUCCCUGCCUCUCUGCAUCUCUGGAGCUGCCUGUCCCAUCACUGUCCUCCUGCCGGAGACUCUGGGGCAGCCACUGCCCAACACAGUGCAGGACCUGGAGAGAAGGUGGAAAGAGAAACCCGGGCAGAAGCAGCAGGAGCAGCAGAUGGUCCUGCUCCAGCCUCCCGAGGACUGAGAAGGGGCAAAGCACGGACGGAGCCCCCGCAUCUCCUGGAGGUCCUCACCCAGAGGAGGGGGAGAGGAACAGCAGCCAGGGGAAGACGGGAGGGACCCCUGCUGGACCUGUAAUUCCAGAGGACACUUCCCCUGGGCCUCCACUCCUAGCCAGACCCACCCUCCCAUUUCAUUGAAAGUAGCUACACACAACUUCUCCCAUUCUUUCCACUGUGGCCACUCCGUAUCAGCUAACCCUUGGUGCAAAAAUUCACAUGGCAGAGUUCCCACUGUGGUGCAAUGGGAUUGGUGGCGUCUUUGCAGCACCAGGAUGCAGGUUCGAUCCCCAGCCCAGCACAAUGGGUUAAAGGACCCAGUCUUGCCACAGUGGCAUUGGUUGCAGCUGUGGCUAGGAUCUGAUCCUGGCCUGGGAACGCCGCAUGUCUUGGGGCAGCCAAAAAGCAAACAAACAAAAAAACACAACAACAACUCAUUCGAUGAUCAUUGGUGUAGAAAACCCAGUGGAAUCUACACAAACACUACUUCAACAACAAGGAGUUUAGGAAAGUGGUAGGGAGUUCACGUUGUGGCUCAGCGGAAACGAAUCUGACUAGUAACCAUGAGGACACAAGUUCGAUCCCUGGCCUUACUCAGUGAGUUAAGGAUCCGGCAUGGCUGUGGCUUUGGCGUAGCCAGGAGCUGUAGCUCCGAUUGGAACCCUAGCCUGGGAACCUCUAUAUGCCACGGGUGAGGCCCUAAAUAAAAAAAGAGAGAGAAAGUGGUGGAUUAUAAUA